CUAAGUUUGAGGAUACCUUCCUUUUUAAAAUUUUUUUUGAACCUUAUUUGGUGAGCCCAAGGGGCCCACCCUUGUUUUGUCCCCCCUGCCGUGUCCCUCCUUUCUUCUUUCUUCUUUUUCUUUUUUCUUCUUUUCCUUCUUUUCUUUUGUUGUCUGCACCUUUUUCCUUUCUUUUCGAAAACUCUCUCAUUCCUCUUCUUCUUCUUCUACCCGUGACAACCACACACACACACACACACCCACAGCUACACCUACUCGAGGAAAUCAUCACCAUCAUCGCCAUUGAACUGCUUUUCUCUCUCUCUUUCUCUCUCCCCUGCUCGCGGUGCCGGAGUACGCCGAGCAUCUCCGGCGAGUUUCAUCGUUUUCCGGUUGGGUUUUGGAGUGUUUUGGCACGGGUGAGUGCACACCCAAAUUUCCGGCGAGCACCGUCCCUUUCGAGGCGAUUUACGGCCAAACCACGGCGAGUUGGCCGGCGUGCGAGUUUCCGGCGACCUCAGUGACUUUCGAGGUGUUUUCCAGCCAAACCACGGCGAGUUAGACGUCGUGUGAGGUACCAUUCUCUUCCUCUCUUCGAGAGCUACGAUUUUCAUUUUUGAAUCACUUGAUGUCGUCGAGUAUUAACAAAGUUAUGGACGUUCAAAGUUUGUCUAAAUUCCGGCCUUCUUCUCCGGCGUGAAACCCAGCCCAAGAAAACACCCAGGCCUUCAGGCCGUUUCCUUUCCCCACGGGCCUUAGGCCCGUUUGGUCUCUGGCCCAAAACCCUAAACCUUUUCCUUUUUAUUUUUAGUUUAUUUCUUUUAAAAACCCAAAAGGCCUUAGGGCCUUGGUUGCAGCCCAAACCCAUAUCCCCUUUUUAAUUAGGCCUUGGGCCAUGAGGUUUCAAACCCAAACCCACUUUCCUUCUAACCCAAAUCCAACCCACCUAAAACCUAAACCCAAUUACCCUAACCCAAAACCCUAAAGCCCAAACCCGUGAC